rnacentral:rRNA from 1 species
CUUGGUCAUUUAGAGGAAGUAAAAGUCGUAACAAGGUCUCCGUAGGUGAACCUGCGGAGGGAUCAUUACCGAGUGAGGGCGCUUGCGCCCGACCUCCCAACCCUUUGAUUUAUCAUACCUCAUUAUGCCUCGGGGGCACCGGCGACGGUCCCCCGGCGGCACCCUCCAAACCCCGCAUCAAUUGUCGUCUGAUUAUAAAGUUAAUUCAAUUAAAACUUUCAACAACGGAUCUCUUGGUUCUGGCAUCGAUGAAGAACGCAGCGAAAUGCGAUAAGUAAUGUGAAUUGCAGAAUUCAGUGAAUCAUCGAAUCUUUGAACGCACAUUGCGCCCUUUGGCAUUCCGAAGGGCAUGCCUGUUCGAGCGUCAUUACACCAAUCAAGCCUGGCUUGGUAUUGGGCGACGGGGACCGCAAGGCCCCCGCGCCUUAAUGACACCGGCGGGACGGACCGUAUCUCAGCGUUGUGGUAAAAAGCCGCUGGCGAGACGGGCUCGGCCGUGCCGUUAAACAACCCCAUCUAAAGGU